AAAUAGUGCCAACCUUUCAAGAAUCUGCACAAAAAGGGGACUAAUUGAAGCAGACAAUACAAUAGAUGACUGCAUGAUAGAAGCUGAGUUGUUUCGUAUGCCAUCAUCACUACGACGCCUCUUUGCAACAAUUCUGGUGUUUUGUGAGCCCAGCAAUAUUCGUACACUAUGGAACAACCACCUUGAAGCAAUGUCAGAAGACUAUAGUAGAAACUGCAAAUGCAAACAUAUGGUCCAACAAAUGGUGCUGAAAAAUAUCAGGGAUAUGUUGCAAUCAAUGGGCAAAGACAUACGGUCAUUUCCUCUUCCAGAGAUUGACGAACAGCAAACACGACAAACGAUGUACCUAGAGAAAUCAUCGAGGAAUCCAUGAUUGAGGUAGACCCAGAGGACGCAUCUUUGCAUACAUACCUGAACAAGGAACAAAGGGCUGCAUAUGAAAAAAUUCUAGCCACAGUUAACAGUGAUUCAGGAGGCCUAUUCUUUGUCGAUGGACCGGGAGGCACAGGAAAAACUUUUCUAUAUAGAGCGCUACUGGCUACAGUCCGUGGACAAGGUA
rnacentral:lncRNA from 1 species